rnacentral:rRNA from 1 species
UACGUAGGGGGGCAAGCGUUGUCCGGAAUUAUUGGGCGUAAAGAGCGUGUAGGCGGCCAGAUAAGUCCGCUGUGAAAAUCUCGAGGCUCAACUUCGAGCUGUCGGUGGAAACUAUCUGGCUAGAGUCCGGAAGAGGAGAAUGGAAUUCCUGGUGUAGCGGUGAAAUGCGCAGAUAUCAGGAAGAACACCCGUGGCGAAGGCGGUUCUCUGGGACGGUACUGACGCUGAGACGCGAAAGCGUGGGGAGCGAACAGG